rnacentral:tRNA from 1 species
GGCAAGAUGGCCGAGCGGUCUAAGGCGCCACGUUCAGGUUCUUCAAACUUGAAUAUCUCUUCGUGGUCUCGCAAGAGGCGUGAGUUCGAAUCUCACUCUUGUCA